AAAGAAUUAAUUUAAAUAAAAUAUAGAGCUGUCAAACCUAAAAUGCUUAUAUGCAUUCUUUU
rnacentral:tRNA from 1 species